UUUCUUUUAUGGAGAGUUUGAUCCUGGCUCAGGACGAACGCUGGCGGCGUGCCUAAUACAUGCAAGUCGAGCGAACAGAGAAGGAGCUUG
rnacentral:rRNA from 1 species